rnacentral:rRNA from 1 species
UGCUAGUCGCACGGGUUUAGACCCGUGGCGGAUAGCUCAGUAACACGUGGUCAAACUACCCUGUCGAGCGCGAUAACCUCGGGAAACUGAGGCUAAUAGCGCAUACGGCUCGGUGCCUGGAACUGGCCCGAGCUCGAAAUGCUCCGGCGCGACAGGAUGUGGCUGCGGCCGAUUAGGUAGACGGUGGGGUAACGGCCCACCGUGCCCAUAAUCGGUACGGGUUGUGAGAGCAAGAGCCCGGAGACGGAAUCUGAGACAAGAUUCCGGGCCCUACGGGGCGCAGCAGGCGCGAAACCUUUACACUGCACGACAGUGCGAUAGGGGGACUCCAAGUGCGAGGGCAUAUAGUCCUCGCUUUUCACUACCGUAAGGUGGUAGUAGAAUAAGUGCUGGGCAAGACCGGUGCCAGCCGCCGCGGUAAUACCGGCAGCACGAGUGAUGACCGCUAUUAUUGGGCCUAAAGCGUCCGUAGCCGGCCGAACAAGUCCGUCGGGAAAUCCGCACGCCUAACGUGCGGGCGUCCGGCGGAAACUGUUCGGCUUGGGACCGGAAGGCUCGAGGGGUACGUCCGGGGUAGGAGUGAAAUCCCGUAAUCCUGGACGGACCACCGGUGGCGAAAGCGCCUCGAGAGGACGGAUCCGACGGUGGGGGACGAAAGCUAGGGUCACGAACCGGAUUAGAUACCCGGGUAGUCCUAGCUGUAAACGAUGUCUGCUAGGUGGUGGCGCUGGCUACGAGCCAGCGCUGUGCCGUAGGGAAGCCGUGAAGCAGACCGCCUGGGAAGUACGUCUGCAAGGAUGAAACUUAA